rnacentral:rRNA from 1 species
GUGGGGAAUAUUGGACAAUGGGCGCAAGCCUGAUCCAGCCAUGCCGCGUGAGUGAUGAAGGCCCUAGGGUUGUAAAGCUCUUUCACCGGAGAAGAUAAUGACGGUAUCCGGAGAAGAAGCCCCGGCUAACUUCGUGCCAGCAGCCGCGGUAAUACGAAGGGGGCUAGCGUUGUUCGGAAUUACUGGGCGUAAAGCGCACGUAGUCGGACAUUUAAGUCAGGGGUGAAAUCCCGGGGCUCAACCCCGGAACUGCCUUUGAUACUGGGUGUCUGGAGUAUGGAAGAGGUAAGUGGAAUUCCGAGUGUAGAGGUGAAAUUCGUAGAUAUUCGGAGGAACACCAGUGGCGAAGGCGGCUUACUGGUCCAUUACUGACGCUGAGGUGCGAAAGCGUGGGGAGCAAACAGGAUUAGAAACCCCGGUAGUCC